rnacentral:rRNA from 1 species
UGGGAACGUACCCUUUGGUUCGGAACAACCCAGGGAAACUUGGGCUAAUACCGGAUACGUCCGUAAGGAGAAAGAUUUAUCGCCAAGGGAUCGGCCCGCGUCUGAUUAGCUAGUUGGUGGGGUAAUGGCCACCAAGGCUACGAUCAGUAGCUGGUCUGAGAGGAUGAUCAGCCACAUUGGGACUGAGACACGGCCCAAACUCCCACGGGAGGCAG